GCCGAAGCCGAGACGGAAAUUCGUGGUGAAUGUGCCGAGCGUGUUGGCCAUCCGCGAGCCCAAUCCUACCAGAGUUUCCUUGUCGUCCUUCAUUGACCACGUGAGAUCCAUGAGAUUGCGGUGUAUCGCAAUUUACAGCAGCGGAUAAUCGUGGCUCGUGGAACUACACGGACGAUCAAAUGUGAAUCGGUUUGCUGCUGGCAAGUCAGUCAUCGAAAGGCUCAUGCAGCGAGAGUAUCUUUUAUUGGCGUCGUGACGGAUCGGUGGGCGGUAUAUUGCACGCACGCUUGCCGAUUUACUUAGCCGGCCUGUACUGGAGCUUCACCACUUGGCUGGAGUGCGGCCGGAUCCUGAGCCGCAGCCUCUGCGGCUUCAGCUGAACCGGCUGUACCACGCUUCCGUUCGAGACAUCCUGAAAGUCCGCGUCCGCCAGCACUUGGAGCGAUACCGGCGGCGACGUACGGAUCUCCGCAUCCGGACAGCCGAACGCGCGCAAACGCUCCGGCACGUUGCACCGCGGCUUGUUUUGCAUCGCUGCGUCUCGUACAGGUGAUUCGACGCGUUAACAAAAACUUUGGUGUCCUCGAGAUCUCUUCUACGAGGUCUACAAGAAAGUUACCCAGUCGCUGCACCAGGCGCAAGCCGCGCUCGCCUCCAAGCAAUUCUCGCAGGCGCUCUGAGCCGUGCACAGGCUCAGGAUCUUCGUAUCGACGCCCAGGCACGUCCUUGCGAGAUACAGAUUCACUGUGAGAACGGACAACAGCAACGAUGCGCGAAACUUAUUCAUCUUAUUAGAUCGAUUAGCGCGAGAUACUCGAUGCACGCACCGAAAAUGCGAUCGGAACCGUGAGAGAAUAAUCAGAGAUUUAUUCUCCGCGGAAGACGGAGUUUCUUUUUUGGCGUGCACUUUAUCUACGAGAUCGGCCGCGCAUUCGACCUGGCACGAACGUAGAUCGAGGCGAUAUACCAUGCGAUAAUUACAAGGCAUAACACGAGGCGCGUCGCGUGUGAUUUUCCCGUAACGAGCGAACCGAUCGUACUCGCGCGCGUGUAUACGCGUGCUCUAUUCGCGCGUACUAGCAGGUGGCACAUCGGAAUCCGAAGGCAAAACUCGGGCAAUCAGUAACGCGGAUAAAGCUGCAUGUAACGCGCGUCUGUUUCCUUAUCAGUGGUAACGAUAACGAUAAACUUCGUACUCGCGAAUCGCCCGUUUGGCGAACGUGCAAGUUCCCGAUCAUCUGCGUAAUCGAUACAGCGACCGAAGUUGCGUUGCGAUUGAUGCGUGAUGCUCGAUUUGCUUCAGCUUGAUACAAUCCUUGUUGACAAUAUCAGAUUCUAGAAUUCUUACCUCUCUUUGCAUGUAAGAACAAAAUUAAUGUUAAUUAAAACAGUGGCAUAAACUAUGUUAUUGCAACAAAA